AGCAAAACGUCAUAUGUGUUCUUUAUAUGUGACUCAGAUGCAUAAAUGCCGAAGCUAGAGGCCAUUGGCGAAACAUCACUACGCACUUAUAGAUUUACAAUUACAUCAAAGCAUGCUUGUGUAAUGCAACAACCUACUCCUCCGAUGACAAAUAAAACCUGCCAUACAAACUACGGAGAUUUUAUCAAAAGAAGAUUUGAAAUUGAAUAAGAUGGUCAUUAGGAACCCGUGAAAGUUUUAUUCAUCCGAAACUGGAAUGGCAUAUGCAAAUUCCCGUCAAGCCAGGACAUUGCUGUUACAAUCUACUCGAUGAGUUCGACUUGUGCUGGCGUUGCCAAUAGAUGUCAUCUUGCUCAGCCGUUCUCAGUCAAUGGUGACGUUUGUAAGUAAAUUAAUAACUGAAACAGUUGCAUCUUCAAAACACAAAAUAUAUGUAUGAAGGUUAAGGAAUAAUAGUUGUAAAACAUUGUAGUUAAUCGAAUGUAAAUCAAAGAUUUCAUGAUAUGACCACCUUUCAUUUCAAAUAGUUUUGCCGUUCAAUUUUUCCUGUUAUGAUUUUUUCACACUCAAUGUAACGAUUUCGAUUUAUUUUUUAUUCCAUCCUCAUAAUUAUUUAAACACAUUUAACGGAGUACCGAGUAAAUGUUUAUCAUGCUUUAUUAUCACAGCAUCCUACUUCAAUCUGACUUCUUUCAAAUUAUGGUAUGUGUUUCAUUCCAAACAAACUUAUAUUCAGGGAUAGAAAACUCGAAGA